UCCAGGGUAGCCGGGUGGACAAGGCACCUGCCCGGUAAGCAGAAGGGUGUGGGUUCGAUUCCCGCCCCUGGAC
rnacentral:tRNA from 1 species